UUCUUUCUAAACCUUUCUAGGCUGCAGAAAAAUAGGGAAACUGAGGAGAAAAUUCUCUCUAAAAGGAGCCAGACAGGGGGAGAGGAAGAGAAGAGAAAAUUUGAACGAGAACCCUAUGCUUAUCAUUAUUUCUAAGAAGAUGGGGAACAAGGCAUUCACUCAACAAGGUUAUGGGGGGCCACCGUGUCCCCCAAGCACUGUAUGUGAUUAACAGUGAACCGCAUGGACACUAUUCCGGCUCAGGAUCUAAUGGGCUCCACAGAAGACGGGCCUUCGGGACACAGUUGGUAAAUUCCAGCUGCUGGGGAGUGCAGUGUGCUGUGGGAGCCAGCAAGAAGGGAGUUGCCCAGAGAAUUUGCAGCAAAUGGGCCAAGUAAGCCAUGCUCAUUGCAGAAAGUAAGCAUAAAGAAGCAGGAAAAAGAAACCUCUGAUCCCGCCAUGAGAAGCAAUUAUACAAACUGGUAAUGUUUCUCGAAGGCUGCUAUAUAUCAGGCAUUAUUUCUAUCGCUUUGGAUGCUUUAUUUUAUUUCAUCCUCCAGAUAACUCUAGGAAAUGGUCCCUACCACUGUCCCCACUUACCUGGAAGGAGCCAAGGCAGUGAAAGGACCCACAGCUGGACGGGGUGGAAUGGGGAAACACCUUCCAGAGAAGUCUUCUGCAAAGCAUGGAGAUCCAUUGCAAAUGCUUAGAUAAGGACCACCACCAAUAUCUCUAUGCCCUGGCCAUCUUUGGAGUCUCGGAGGCAGGUUGGGGGAAGCUGGCCACAGCCGGGAGGCAGAGUGGCCAGCUCCCAGUCCACCUCUUUGGGAUCCCAGGGCUGGAAAGAGGCAGAAAGUCUCUCAGGAUGGAGAGAAAACCCCUCUUCUCUUACAUCCAAACCUCUGGAGAUAAAACCCCAGAUCUCAGCCCCUCCUGUGAAGAGCAGAACCUUCCCCAGAGCUACCCAGCUUUAAAGCAGCCAGUGGGUAGUGGUGCAUCACUGGAUGGUGUUUUGGGGAUUCCCCCCACCCCGGCCAUCUUCGACCAUUUCUUUCAGCCUCUCCUCCUCAUCCCUUGCCCUCCUUUCUCCCAGGCCUCCUUCCCAGAAGCUGACCUGGAGCUGGAUUUCCAAAUAAACAGUAACUAAUUGGA